AAUUUAUAUAGUUUAACAAAAACAUUACAUUUUCAUUGUAAAAUUAAAUUUAAUUUAUAAAUA
rnacentral:tRNA from 1 species